GACGUAGGGCGCGAGCGUUAAUCGGAAUUACUGGGCGUAAAGCGUGCGCAGGCGGUUCGUUGUGUCGGUGGUGAAAGCCCCGGGCUUAACCUGGGAAUGGCCAUGGAAACUGGCGAACUGGAGUGUGGCAGAGGGGGGUGGAAUUCCGCGUGUAGCAGUGAAAUGCGUAGAGAUGCGGAGGAACACCGAUGGCGAAGGCAGCCCCCUGGGCUAGCACUGACGCUCAGGCACGAAAGCGUGGGGAGCAAACAGG
rnacentral:rRNA from 1 species